rnacentral:rRNA from 1 species
AUUGAACGCUGGCGGCAGGCCUAACACAUGCAAGUCGAGCGAGGGGCGGACGGGUGAGUACUGUCUGGGAAACUGCUUGAUGGAGGGGGAUAACUCCUGGAAACGGUAGCUAAUACCGCAUACCAUCAGAUGUGCCCAGAUGGGAGUAGCUAGUAGGUGGGGUAACGGAUCACCUAGGAGACGAUCCCUAGCUGGUCUGAUAGGAGGACAAGCAACACUGGAACUGAUACACGGUCCAGACUCCUACGGGAGGCAGCAGUGGGGAAUAUGGCACAAUGGGCGCAAGCCUGAUGCAGCCAUGCCGCGUGUGUGAAGAAGGCCUUCGGGUUGUAAAGCACUUUCAGCGGGGAGGCGUUACCAACAGAAUAAGCACCGGCUAACUUCGUGCCAGCAGCCGCGGUAAUAC